ACCCAGUGGAUAGCUCAGCCAGCAAGAGCAUGAGGCUCUUAAUCUCAAGGCCACGGGUUCGAGUCCCAUGCUGGGCA